AACCUUUACACUGCACGACAGUGCGAUAAGGGAAUCCCAAGUGCGUAGGCAUAGAGCCUACGCUUUUGUCCACCGUAGGGAGGUGGACGAAUAAGGGCUGGGCAAGACCGGUGCCAGCCGCCGCGGUAAUACCGGCAGCCCGAGUGAUGGCCGAUCUUAUUGGGCCUAAAGCGUCCGUAGCUGGCCGCGCAAGUCUAUCGGAAAAUCCACCCGCUCAACGGGUGGGCGUCCGGUAGAAACUGCGUGGCUUGGGACCGGAAGGCGCGACGGGUACGUCCGGGGUAGGAGUGAAAUCCCGUAAUCCUGGACGGACCGCCGAUGGCGAAAGCACGCCGCGAAGACGGAUCCGACAGUGAGGGACGAAAGCUAGGGUCUCGAACCGGAUUAGAUACCCGGGUAGUCCUAGCCGUAAACAAUGCCUGCUAGGUGUGGCUCCCACUACGAGUGGGUGCUGUGCCGUAGGGAAGCCGCUAAGCAGGCCGCCUGGGAAGUACGUCCGCAAGGAUGAAACUUAA
rnacentral:rRNA from 1 species